rnacentral:lncRNA from 1 species
AGUUUGGGGCUGAUGAGAAAUGUUUGGAAGUCUUCAAAGGAAGAGAGAUGGACUCUCUGCCCGGGAAGGCGCCUCUGCUCCCUCUGGCCUGACUCACAAAGGGAUCUCCUAGUCUGGAGGAGAUGGAGGAGGAGCAGAUUCAGACCCUGCCUUAAAAAAGAAGCAAUGGAUCCAGGCCUGCCCUCAGGAAGUUUCUCUUCAGACCGUGGAGAACAAAGUUACAAUUCAAUUCAACAAAACAUUCACAAAGAAGAGGACAGAAUAAAACAGAAAUACAAAAAAUCCUUCUCUUCUUUAUUUUCAACCAGAGUAUCCUCUUGGCCCCAGAUCUGUUAUUAAAAUGGUUUUCUCAUUAAGAAAGCUUUCUUCUCUGCAGAGAGGGGCUCUCAUACCUGGCAACUGCUAAUCCCCAGAGACAGACUUUUCCUUUCAGCCUCAACCUUCACAGUUGGUUCUAAAGACUUGUCCAGUUCUGCCUGUCACAGAACUGUUAGUAAAAACACUUAACCCAGUUAACUCCUC